GCGGGACUACUUGAUUGACAGUCUGGUCUGGAAUGAUUGACAGGUCCUAUGGAGGAGGAAGCAGAGACUCUGUUCUCCUCGUUUGGAUUAAUUCUGAUAUAAUAACUGUUGGUUUAUUUAUCAGUGCCGUAGCAGAACAUUUUCCACAGACAGUUUUCCUGCCCGUUGGCUUGUUUUAACCAGUUUUCUGCCUUCAGGUGAUUCUACCAGGAGACAUUGAAAGGACUCUGAUAGUUCGAGUGAAAGUAGCAGUUCCUCCUUAAGGUCAGAGAUUGCAGCAUCUGAGGGCCUCAUCAAAAGAAGAUGUAGUUGAUGAAGGCGUUGUGGAGCAGGGCUAGAAAGACCACGACCAAGCAGCCUUGAGAUCUUAGGCAGCGUCUGCCUCAGUUUAAAGGUCCCUCUCUAUCUCCCCACACAUCCACCAACCACGAGAACACAUCUCCAAAGUUCUGCCAGGCCAGCUCAGCUUCCCCUCAGAAGAAGUGCUGCCACCUGCCAGAUGAAGGAGCCUUUUGAGAGGCAGCUGGCAUCGUGAUUGGACUGUACUUUGGUCUGUUCCAAUCCAGCUUCAGCUCCAGAGACGGCAGGCGGGACGAGUCAACGGAGGCCGGGUGGAUGAAGGCAUGAAGCUGAGUACAAUGCAGAAAACAACAGAGGAGGAGUGCAGCAGCCCAGGACCAGAACAACCAGAGUAGCAUCAUAUGUCUCUUAGAAAACAUCAUAGUAGAGCCUUUGGUAUGAAAAAACACCAUCAUAUACAUCGUAUAUUGUACAAAUAACAAGUCAAAGGAAAGAGACAUACAUUGUAGAAUUGUAGUAAUUGUGGGCUGACUGAUUUACUGAUUAUCGGUAUUUUAUUUUUUACUGAUUUACGGUAAUAAAUACAUUUAAAAAUGGC